rnacentral:rRNA from 1 species
AUUGAACGCUGGCGGCAUGCCUUACACAUGCAAGUCGAACGGUAACGCGGGGCAACCUGGCGACGAGUGGCGAACGGGUGAGUAAUGUAUCGGAACGUGCCCAGUUGUGGGGGAUAACUGCUCGAAAGAGCAGCUAAUACCGCAUACGACCUGAGGGUGAAAGCGGGGGAUCGCAAGACCUCGCGCAAUUGGAGCGGCCGAUAUCAGAUUAGGUAGUUGGGGGGGCAAAGGCUCACCAAGCCGUCGAUCUGUAGCUGGUCUGAGAGGACGACAAGCCACACUGGGACUGAGGCACGGCCCAGACUUCUACGGGAGGCAGCAGUGGGGAAUUUUGGACAAUGGACGCAAGUCUGAUCCAGCCAUGCCGCGUGCGGGAAGAAGGCCUUCGGGUUGUAAACCGCUUUUGUCAGGGAAGAAACGCUCUGGGUUAAUACCUCGGGGUAAUGACGGUACCUGAAGAAUAAGCACCGGCUAACUACGUGCCAGCCGCCGCAGUAAUAC